rnacentral:rRNA from 1 species
CCUACGGGUGGCAGCAGUGGGGAAUAUUGGGCAAUGGGCGAAAGCCUGACCCAGCAACGCCGCGUGCAGGAUGAAGGUUUUCGGGUUGUAAACUUCUGUCGCGAGGGAGGAAGAAUAAGGGUACCUAGUAAUAAGGCCCCGGCGAACUACGUGCAAGCACCCGCGGUAAUACGUAGGGGGCAAGCGUUGUCCGGAGUGACUGGGGGUAAAGGGAGCGUAGGCGGCUAAUCAAGUUAGAUGGGAAGUCCCGCGGCUUAACCGCUGAACUGCAUCUAAAAAUGGUGAGCUGGAGUGCAGGAGAGGUGAGUGGAAUUCCUAGUGUAGCGGUGGAAUGCGUAGAUAUUAGGAGGAACACCAGAGGCGAAGGCGACUCACUGGACUGUAACUGACGCUGAGGCUCGAAAGCGUGGGGAGCAAACAGGAUUAGAUACCCCAGUAGUC